rnacentral:misc_RNA from 1 species
AACCUUAUGGACCUGCGGGCGUAUACCUGCGGAGGGAUCAUUACACAAUACAAUAUGAAGGCUGUCCGCAGCUGGAGUAUUUUAUUACCCUUGUCUUUUGCGCACUUGUUGUUUCCUGGGCGGGUUCGCUCGCCACCAGGACCACCAAAUAAACCUUUUUUAUGCAGUUGCAAUCAGCGUCAGUACAAACAAUGUAAAUCAUUUACAACUUUCAACAACGGAUCUCAGAUCGGAAGAGCA